rnacentral:lncRNA from 1 species
GUUUAGAGAACUAAAACCAAACAGACAAAUUUCAAGUAUACCUUAAUGACUGAGAAUGCCUGAUUAUCUAUAAAUACUGGUGUGAUUUAGUUUGUGGUUUUUUUUUGUCCUAGCACUUCAAGAACGAUCCAGAUAUACAAAUCCAGCAUCGAUAUCUCAUGAGUGAUUAGUCUGCUGUGAACAUUUGGAUGCAUUCAAGAAAGGACGUAGGAGAAGUGGGCUCGUGUUCAGUUUUCAGGAUUUUAAUUCAUUUCAGUCCUCAUCAAUCCUUUAUACUUCAGAGAGUGCAAGGACAUCAGGUUGUUGCCUGAAAGCAAAGUUCAUGGCAUGAUCAUGAAGCACUGGCAGAUCACUAACUAGUUCUUCAGAAAAAAAACAGGAAUGCCUCCAGCUUCUCCAGUGACUUGCCCAGAAAUGAGAGAUCAUGUUUUCUUGCCCUUUACUGGUGCCUGAACCUGCCCCUCUCCCACACUGCCAGGAGCCUGUUUUAACCUGUAGUGCCAAUCAUGUUGCGUCUUCUCAAAGCUUCAGCUCAGUCAAGGAGUUUCCAUCAGCAUGAAGACACAGGAUCUUUUGUACAUUAAGAAACAGCCUACACUUUCCCCAAGGUAAGGCUGGAGCUUGUCUGAUUAAACAAUCAGAGAUCCCAUUUGGUUGGCUUUUUGUCUGUGACACUUCCUUUUGUCUUCCAAUUUAUUGUCAUAAGCAGUGGGACUGAAGGAAGAUUUAAUUUAAAUCUGAUUAAAUUAUGGCAAAGCUUGAAACAUGUUAACAAUCCCCUCUGCUUAGCAGAAGAGAUAUAUUUCCAAGCCAAAAUAUAUCCAGGAGAAGGCAGAAAUCCAGGGCUGUGUUCAGACUUCCUUUAAGGGGUGCCCAGUUUAAAUUUCAGCUUACUAUAGGACCUCAGUUUGAGGGAGACUGAUGUCAAGAGUUUCUUAUAAUGUUGCUCAUUUUAUCACAUCUUGUGGUAUCCUCACAAAAGCCACAACAAAAAUAUCUGCUUUUUGUAGUAUCUGCUGGAUGUAAUUCUUGAGCCACAAAACUCAUAGGAGGAGUGUAAUUUUCCUUGUAAAUAUAGACUUCCUAUGUCAAAAGCAUAUGAAAACCUCUCAGUAAUGUUAGGUUUUGAUUGUCUCCCCAUAUCCUCUGCUCCAUACCUUAUAGCUUUUUCAGAUCUGC